AUGCAGUCGAACGGAAAGGCCCAGCUUGCUGGGUACUCGAGUGGCGAACGGGUGAGUAACACGUGGGUGAUCUGCCCUGCACUCUGGGAUAAGCCUGGGAAACUGGGUCUAAUACCGGAUAUGACCAACUGUCGCAUGGUGGUUGGUGGAAAGCUUUUGCGGUGUGGGAUGGGCCCGCGGCCUAUCAGCUUGUUGGUGGGGUAAUGGCCUACCAAGGCGACGACGGGUAGCCGACCUGAGAGGGUGAUCGGCCACACUGGGACUGAGACACGGCCCAGACUCCUACGGGAGGCAGCAGUGGGGAAUAUUGCACAAUGGGCGCAAGCCUGAUGCAGCGACGCCGCGUGAGGGAUGACGGCCUUCGGGUUGUAAACCUCUUUCACCAGGGACGAAGCGUGAGUGACGGUACCUGGAGAAGAAGCACCGGCCAACUACGUGCCAGCAGCCGCGGUAAUACGUAGGGUGCGAGCGUUGUCCGGAAUUACUGGGCGUAAAGAGCUCGUAGGCGGUUUGUCGCGUCGUCUGUGAAAUUCUGCAACUCAAUUGCAGGCGUGCAGGCGAUACGGGCAGACUUGAGUACUACAGGGGAGACUGGAAUUCCUGGUGUAGCGGUGAAAUGCGCAGAUAUCAGGAGGAACACCGGUGGCGAAGGCGGGUCUCUGGGUAGUAACUGACGCUGAGGAGCGAAAGCGUGGGUAGCGAACA
rnacentral:rRNA from 1 species